rnacentral:tRNA from 1 species
GCAGGGGUGCCGCAGCGGUCAACCGGGGUGGGCUUAGGACCCACUGGAUGUAGAUCCUUCAAGAGUUCGAAUCUCUUCUCCUGCA